CUCGAGUGUUAUCUGUCU
rnacentral:snRNA from 1 species